GUCCUACUCCCUCCGUCCGGAAAUACUUGUCAUCAAAAUGGAUAAAAGAGAAUGUAUCUAGAUGUAUUUUAGUUCUAGAUACAUCUUUUUUUAUCCAUUUUGAUGACAAGUAUUUUCGGACAGAGGGAGUACAAA
rnacentral:pre_miRNA from 1 species